AUGUGACAUUACUAAUAUUUUCUUUUAUUGAAAGACUAGUUGCUGUUGUCCUGCUGGAGCUGAGAAGUGGUCUGCUGCCUGCCAUGUGCCUAUGUCUCUCAAGUUAUCGCAAUAUUGUUGCCCUCAAAACUGAGGUCCGUUACCUGGGACACGUUUACCACCGAAAGCUUGGAGAUGGACCCGCAAUGUGUGGAAGGAAUUCUGGAAAUGACAACACCUAAGAAUGCCUCGGAGCGCAGUCUCAAAGACCUGCUUGCCGCAACAAAGGACUAAAGCACCUUGACGAAGCUCCGCGAAUAUGCCGAGUCAACAUGGCCCCCUGAGAAGCAAGAAGUUCCUGAGCCCGUCCGUGCCUACUGGCCGUACCAGGAGGAGAUACAUGCGCAGAAUGGCUUCGUGUUCCGCAGCA